AUCACAAAGUAUGAGAUACUGAAGCCAUUGAGAUGAUAAGAUCUAGUUAUUUCUUUCAAAAAACAAAAAGAAUCUGACAGAGGGGAAAAAAUCAAUGUAAAUGCAAUCAAUUUAGGCCUCUUCAGACUUAUCUAGUUUGCUUUUCACUUUUAGUGACAGAACUCAGGGAAUAAUCAAUUAUGGACAGAGAGAAUAUGUUAACCUAUGGAGCAACUAAUUAAAGGACAUCUCAUUUGAAAGAUUGCUUUUAGCUCUGGGGAAUGAGUAAAGCCUUUAGUAUAUUUGAACUGAA